GUAGGUGGCAAGCGUUGUCCGGAAUUAUUGGGCGUAAAGCGCGCGCAGGCGGUCCUUUAAGUCUGAUGUGAAAGCCCACGGCUCAACCGUGGAGGGUCAUUGGAAACUGGGGGACUUGAGUCCAGAAGAGGAAAGCGGAAUUCCAAGUGUAGCGGUGAAAUGCGUAGAGAUUUGGAGGAACACCAGUGGCGAAGGCGGCUUUCUGGUCUGUAACUGACGCUGAGGCGCGAAAGCGUGGGGAGCAAACAGGGAUUAGAUACCCUGGUAGUCCACGCCGUAAACGAUGAGUGCUAAGUGUUAGGGGGUUUCCCGCCCCUUAGUGCUGCAGCUAACGCAUUAAGCACUCCGCCUGGGGAGUACGGCCGCAAGGCUG
rnacentral:rRNA from 1 species